CAUAGUUAGCCGCUCCUGCUUUUAUGGGUACCUUCAUUAUAGUCCCCAUCGAAAGACCUUUACGACCCGAGGGCCUUCAUCGGUCACGCGGCAUCGCUGGAUCAGGGUUUCCCCCAUUGUCCAAGAUUCCCCA
rnacentral:rRNA from 1 species